rnacentral:rRNA from 1 species
GAUGAACGCUGGCGGCGUGCCUAAUACAUGCAAGUCGAGCGAACGGACGAGAAGCUUGCUUCUCUGAUGUUAGCGGCGGACGGGUGAGUAACACGUGGAUAACCUACCUAUAAGACUGGGAUAACUUCGGGAAACCGUAGCUAAUACCGGAUAAUAUUUUGAACCGCAUGGUUCAAAAGUGAAAGACGGUCUUGCUGUCACUUAUAGAUGGAUCCGCGCUGCAUUAGCUAGUUGGUAAGGUAACGGCUUACCAAGGCAACGAUGCAUAGCCGACCUGAGAGGGUCAUCGGCCACACUGGAACUGAGACACGGCCCAGACUCCUACGGGAGGCAGCAGUAGGGAAUCUUCCGCAAUGGGCGAAAGCCUGACGGAGCAACGCCGCGUGAGUGAUGAAGGUCUUCGGAUCGUAAAACUCUGUUAUUAGGGAAGAACAUAUGUGUAAGUAACUGUGCACAUCUUGACGGUACCUAAUCAGAAAGCCACGGCUAACUACGUG